AUACGGAGGAUCCGAGCGUUAUCCGGAUUUAUUGGGUUUAAAGGGUGCGCAGGCGGGAGAUUAAGUCGGCGGUGAAAUUUUGCAGCUCAACUGUAAAAGUGCCUUCGAAACUGGUUUCCUUGAGUGUAGAUGAAGUAGGCGGAAUUUGUGGUGUAGCGGGUAAAUGCAUAGAUAUCACGAGGAACUCCGAUUGCGCAGGCAGCUUACUAAACUACUACUGACGCUCAGGCACGAAGGCGUGGGGAUCAAACAGGAUUAGAUACCCUGGUAGUCCACGCAGUAAACGAUGAUUACUAGCUGUUUGCGAUACAAUGUAAGCGGCUGAGCGAAAGCGUUAAGUAAUCCACCUGGGGAGUACGUCGGCAACGGUGAAACUCAAAUGAAUUGGCGGGG
rnacentral:rRNA from 1 species